UAGUACUAGAUUGCGUUGAAAACACGA
rnacentral:sRNA from 1 species